rnacentral:rRNA from 1 species
AUUGAACGCUGGCGGCAGGCCUAACACAUGCAAGUCGAACGAAGUCUUCGGACUUAGUGGCGGACGGGUGAGUAACACGUGGGAACGUGCCUUUAGGUUCGGAAUAACUCAGGGAAACUUGUGCUAAUACCGAAUGUGCCCUUCGGGGGAAAGAUUUAUCGCCUUUAGAGCGGCCCGCGUCGGAUUAGCUAGUUGGUGAGGUAAAGGCUCACCAAGGCGACGAUCAGUAGCUGGUCUGAGAGGAUGAUCAGCCACAUUGGGACUGAGACACGGCCCAAACUCCUACGGGAGGCAGCAGUGGGGAAUCUUGCGCAAUGGGCGAAAGCCUGACGCAGCCAUGCCGCGUGAAUGAUGAAGGUCUUAGGAUUGUAAAAUUCUUUCACCGGGGACGAUAAUGACGGUACCCGGAGAAGAAGCCCCGGCUAACUUCGUGCCAGCCGCCGCGGUAAAAC